rnacentral:rRNA from 1 species
UGCAAGUCGAACGAUGAUGGCGAGCUUGCUCCUGGAUUAGUGGCGAACGGGUGAGUAACACGUGUGUAACCUGCCCUUAACUCUGGGAUAAGCCUGGGAAACUGGGUCUAAUACCGGAUAUGACUCCUCAUCGCAUGGUGGGGGGUGGAAAGCUUUAUUGUGGUUUUGAAGGGACUCCCGCCCUAUCACCUGGUGGUGAAGUAAUGGCUUACCCAGGCUACCACCGGUAGCCGGCCUGAGAAGGUGACCGGCCACACUGGGACUGAGACACCGCCCAGACUCCUACCGGAGGCAGCAGUGGGGAAUAUUGCACAAUGGGCGCAAGCCUGAUGCAGCCACCCCGCGUGAGGGAAGACGGCCUUCGGGGUUGUAAACCUCUUUUAGUAGGGAAGAAGCGAAAGUGACGGUACCUGCAGAAAAAGCCCCGGCUAACUACGUGCCAGCAGCCGCGGUAAUAC